GACGAACGCUGGCGGCGUGCUUAACACAUGCAAGUCGAACGGAAAGGCCCUGCUUUUGUGGGGUGCUCGAGUGGCGAACGGGUGAGUAACACGUGAGUAACCUGCCCUUGACUUUGGGAUAACUUCAGGAAACUGGGGCUAAUACCGGAUAGGAGCUCCUGCUGCAUGGUGGGGGUUGGAAAGUUUCGGCGGUUGGGGAUGGACUCGCGGCUUAUCAGCUUGUUGGUGGGGUAGUGGCUUACCAAGGCUUUGACGGGUAGCCGGCCUGAGAGGGUGACCGGCCACAUUGGGACUGAGAUGCGGCCCAGACUCCUACGGUAGGCAGCAGUGGGGAAUAUUGCACAAUGGGCGGAAGCCUAAUGCAGCAACGCCGCGUGCGGGAUGACGACCUUCGUUUUGUAAACCGCUUUCGCCUGUGACGAAGAGUGAGUGACGGUAAUGGGUAAAGAAGCACCGGCUAACUACGUG
rnacentral:rRNA from 1 species